rnacentral:rRNA from 1 species
AGUUUUCGGACAACUGAUUCAGAGGACAGUGGCGGACGGGUGAGUAACGCGUGAGGAACCUGCCUUUCAGAGGGGGACAACAGUUGGAAACGACUGCUAAUACCGCAUAACGCGUAGAGGUCGCAUGGCCUUUACGCCAAAGAUUUAUCGCUGAAAGAUGGCCUCGCGUCUGAUUAGCUAGUUGGUGAGGUAACGGCCCACCAAGGCGACGAUCAGUAGCCGGACUGAGAGGUUGAACGGCCACAUUGGGACUGAGAUACGGCCCAGACUCC